CUCUCUGGCCAUAGUCCCGAUCAUAAAAAAGACUGGUCUUCAUAUAAUCUUUCUUCUCUCACAAGGUUUCCUGGGCAUUUCAUUACACACCAAGAGACAUGACAGAAGUGUCCCUGUAAAUGCAAGACAUAAUGGAACAAUUACCAUGGGAGAAAGUUCUGUGUCACAAGCUGGAUGGUACAAGCUAUGAAGAAGAACAAAGGAAUCACAGAGCCAGCAACGCGUUACCUUCUACUAUUAGUAAGCAGUUUGAUGCAACAGCACUUUAGAAUGAGCUGAAGCUGGUCCUUUGGUACGUAGCGCUGCAGCAGCAGCACCUCAUGACAUAGCAUUUUUGCCUUUACUACUACUACUUAAAUACUGGAACUGUUGGCAUGGAUAUGCUGACUCAGCACCAUAAAAAAAAAAACAACAAAACAACAAAUAGCAUUGAAGCUGAAUUCUGUCAUAGAAUGAAUUCACACACAUGACACUUCGGCUGUAGGGUGCCAUGUGAAUGAUUUAUCCUAACAUACAGGAGAAGCCACUGCCAAAAGAAAAACAAAAAAACAAAAAAAAAACCCCAAAAAACUGGGAGAAGACUGAUAAUAUGACAAUAUAAUGCCAGAAAGGAAUCAAACAGUGUGAUUAGUAAAGUGAGAUGGCAUGACUUCAGAAGACAAAGGGCAACAGUUUCUCACUGUUGGUAAGCACAGAGUAUGAUGCUGAUCUUGGCUUGCUGCAGAGGCACCAGUGAAGCAGCUCCUUAGACAGCAAUAUUUCAUGACUGACAUUAACAAGGACUGCUGGAGAACAGAAGAGCAUUAUUUUCAUUUUGCAUCUAUCCGGUCCUUGGGAGGAAACUGUCCAUUAAUGCGAGCAUUGUGACUUUAACAUGGCCCGAUGCCAAGCUGGAAAUAUGAUGCAGGAGUCUGGACCUUUUGAAGCCUAUUAUGAAGUGUCUCAUUUUUUAUCAUGUCCAUGAGUGAAAAGUUAGAACAGUAAUGCACUAUAUGGUAAUGCUAUUAUUUGGCAGCAGGCUUGGGUAAAGUGAAAGUCUGUUCUAUACUUUAAGAUGUUCUUACUUUAAGAUGUAAGGAGGAAAGUAGAUAAGACUGACUAAAAAGGUCAACAUUUCUUUGCUAGGCUUUGUAGAAAAUACACUGUGUCUAGUUACAACCAUAGCAGCUUCCAUUUGGUUAUUACUUUCAUUUGACUCAUUUAUAUCAAGAUAGGUACAAGAUGUUUCUUCCCCACAGGAUCACAGAAUUUCAGGGGCUGGGGGGACCU
rnacentral:lncRNA from 1 species